AGAUGCAGCUGCUGUGAGUACAUGCACCUGUAGUUCUUUUUGAAUGAUAUAACAGUAACACAUUGAUGCGUUUGUCAUCAAGUGAUAGGUCGAGCGCUAUAAAACUAGCUUCAAUCCAUUAUUUUCUUAAUUUGAAAAUGCCUGUACCAAAUCAGGAUUAUGAACGUUUUUGUCCGUUCGUUUGAUGUGUAUAUUCAUUGAUUUUGCCAUUUGAUUAGGGACUUUCCAUUUUGAGUUUCCUCAGAGUUCAGUAUUUUUGUGAUUUUAUUUUGUAUACCAUGUUAUGUACGUAUUGAAGUUGUAGCUUUACAAUAUUAGGUAAAAUGAACAAUGUAUACAUGGAACACACAUAUGAAAGAAAAGGGCCGUAAGAUAAAAGAGCGACAUUCAAACGCAUUGAUCGAAAAUAAACUAACAACGCCAUGUCUAAAAAAGAAAAAUGAUAGUACACAAGGCACAACGUAGAAAACUAAGGACUUUGCAGCAAAAAUCCCACCGCUAUUAUUUAUAUGAAUUUAUAGCAACAAUAAAUAUUUUUUUAAUUUAUCUUGUUAUGGUGUGGGAUUGCAAUGAUUCAAUAACCAAAACUAUAAAGGUUUACUUUAGUAUCUGUAAAUUUUAAUGUGUUUGAAGGAACUUAUGUUCUGAACUAAAGUGUAUGUCACAUGUAGACCGUACGUUGUUCACAUCCGUUGUAAUUAUCUCAAUUUUUUGUGUCUUAUGUGCUUCAAUCCUGCUAUAUAAUUACAAAUCUAUCGGUAAAUAGUUCUAUUCUCAAUUUUACUAUCUGAAUAUUCUUUUUGGAAUAUUUUUCACGUUCAUUUAAUUUUAUUUAUGACUGUCUUUAGUGUGUGAAAUGAUUUGUGAAGCAAUUCCAAGUUUGCUAUUGUGUGGUUUUAAAACCACACUUAAUGGCAACAUUAAAGAAAAAUUACUUUUUUGCGUAUUUAAAGAAAUGAUCUUGUCAUGUUUCUUUAUAUAAAGAGGGUUUAUUUUCUGUAUAAUUUUCAAAACAUGUUUUUCAAUUUUGAAUUCCGAACUUUCUAUUGCUAAUCAGCAAUCGAAUAAAGGCAGUAGUAUAUACCGAUGUUCAAACGCGAAAACAAAUGCCGAUAAAAUAUAUAUUUUAAGGUCCUUGGAAUUGAAAUACAAUGAUAAGGUGAUGAGUUUUUUUUUGCAGUAUUGACAGGCCAUUGUUUCAAGAAAUCUGUCAUUUUCUUCUCACCCUUUCCCCUGAUACUUUUAAAGUGGACCAGUAUAGUCUUCCUUUUUGAAUCUACAUCAUAAUUGAUGCUAACUGUAAUCGUUUUACUAUUUCAGUAUUAUGGUCCAAACUAUGGUCCUCCAAGACGUUACGGAGGUGGCAACUAUAACAGAUACAAUGGAUAUGGCGGACGUUAUGGUGGAAAUAGACCCUGGAACUGGAAUAGAGGACGAUAUGCACGAAAAUAUUGGUAGAGGAAUAAAUAAGCUGUCAAUAAUAAUAUAAAAGAUAGAUAAUAAAGUUUCAUUUCUGUUUCAUCUCAA
rnacentral:lncRNA from 1 species